UCCGAAUUAGUUUAGUGGCUAUGACGGCGCCUUGUCACGGCGCAGACCCGGGUUCAAUUCCCGGAUUCGGAG
rnacentral:tRNA from 10 species